rnacentral:rRNA from 1 species
AGCGGCGAACGGGUGAGUAACACGUAGGUGAUCUGCCCAUCAGACGGGGACAACGAUUGGAAACGAUCGCUAAUACCGGAUAGGACGAAAGUUUAAAGGUGCUUCUGGCACCGCUGAUGGAUGAGCCUGCGGCGCAUUAGCUAGUUGGUAGGGUAAAGGCCUACCAAGGCGACGAUGCGUAGCCGACCUGAGAGGGUGAACGGCCACACUGGGACUGAGACACGGCCCAGACUCCUACGGGAGGCAGCAGUAGGGAAUCUUCGGCAAUGGGCGAAAGCCUGACCGAGCAACGCCGCGUGAAUGAUGAAGGCCUUCGGGUUGUAAAAUUCUGUUAUAAGGGAAGAACGACUUUAGUAGGAAAUGGCUAGAGUGUGACGGUACCUUAUGAGAAAGCCACGGCUAACUACGUGCCAGCAGCCGCGGUAAUACGUAGGUGGCGAGCGUUAUCCGGAAUUAUUGGGCGUAAAGAGCGCGCAGGUGGUUGAUUAAGUCCGAUGUGAAAGCCCACGGCUUAACCGUGGAGGGUCAUUGGAAACUGGUCGACUUGAGUGCAGAAGAGGGAAGUGGAAUUCCAUGUGUAGCGGUGAAAUGCGUAGAGAUAUGGAGGAACACCAGUGGCGAAGGCGGCUUCCUGGUCUGUAACUGACACUGAGGCGCGAAAGCGUGGGGAGCAAACAGGAUUAGAUACCCUGGUAGUCCACGCCGUAAACGAUGAGUGCUAAGUGU